rnacentral:tRNA from 1 species
GGAGGUGGUGAGCAAUGGUGCUCAAGCGGUCUUGAAAACCGUACUAUCUAUCAGGAUAAGGGUUCGAUUCCUUCACCUCCC